rnacentral:rRNA from 1 species
CCUACGGGGGGCAGCAGUGGGGAAUAUUGGACAAUGGGCGAAAGCCUGAUCCAGCCAUGCCGCGUGUGUGAAGAAGGCCUUCGGGUUGUAAAGCACUUUCAGUGGGGAAGAAAGCCUUGGGGCUAAUACCCUCGAGGAAGGACAUCACCCACAGAAGAAGCACCGGCUAACUCCGUGCCAGCAGCCGCGGUAAUACGGAGGGUGCGAGCGUUAAUCGGAAUUACUGGGCGUAAAGCGCGCGUAGGCGGUCUGAUAAGCCGGUUGUGAAAGCCCCGGGCUCAACCUGGGAACGGCAUCCGGAACUGUCAGGCUAGAGUGCAGGAGAGGAAGGUAGAAUUCCCGGUGUGGCGGUGAAAUGCGUAGAGAUCGGGAGGAAUACCAGUGGCGAAGGCGGCCUUCUGGACUGACACUGACGCUGAGGUGCGAAAGCGUGGGUAGCAAACAGGAUUAGAUACCCUGGUAGUC